AUUGAACGCUGGCGGCAUGCCUUACACAUGCAAGUCGAACGGUAACAGGUCUUCGGAUGCUGACGAGUGGCGAACGGGUGAGUAAUACAUCGGAACGUGCCCAGACGUGGGGGAUAACGAGGCGAAAGCUUUGCUAAUACCGCAUACGAUCUAAGGAUGAAAGCAGGGGACCGCAAGGCCUUGCGCGUUUGGAGCGGCCGAUGGCAGAUUAGGUAGUUGGUGGGAUAAAAGCUUACCAAGCCGACGAUCUGUAGCUGGUCUAAGAGGACGACCAGCCACACUGGGACUGAGACACGGCCCAGACUCCUACGGGAGGCAGCAGUGGGGAAUUUUGGACAAUGGGCGAAAGCCUGAUCCAGCAAUGCCGCGUGCAGGAUGAAGGCCUUCGGGUUGUAAACUGCUUUUGUACGGAACGAAAAGGCUCUGGCUAAUACCUGGGGCACAUGACGGUACCGUAAGAAUAAGCACCGGCUAACUACGUG
rnacentral:rRNA from 1 species